rnacentral:rRNA from 1 species
UACGGAGGAGGCAAGCGUUAUCCGGAAUUACUGGGCGUAAAGCGCGCGUAGGCGGACCUGCAAGUCGGGGGUGAAAGCCCGAGGCUCAACCUCGGAACUGCCUUCGAUACUGCGGGUCUCGAGUCCGGGAGAGGUGAGUGGAAUUCCUAGUGUAGAGGUGAAAUUCGUAGAUAUUAGGAAGAACACCAGUGGCGAAGGCGGCUCACUGGCCCGGUACUGACGCUGAGGCGCGAAAGCGUGGGGAGCAAACAGG